rnacentral:rRNA from 1 species
UGAGUACGAGAUGCUACGGCAUCGAAGCAGUCUAUGUCAUACUUCCAAGAAAAGCUUGCACUGUCAGAAACAGAUAAUGCCUGUACCAUAACCGACACAGGUGGGUAGGUAGAGUAUACUAAGGGGCGCGAGAUAACUCUCUCUAAGGAACUCGGCAAAAUGACUCCGUAACUUCGGGAGAAGGAGUGCCUUAUUUUUAAGGUUGCAAUAACAAGAUCCAAGCAACUGUUUACCAAAAACACAGGUCUCCGCUAAGUCGUAAGACGAUGUAUGGGGGCUGACGCCUGCCCAGUGCCAGAAGGUUAAAGAGGUCGGUUAGCAUUCGCGAAGCUGGUAACUGAAGCCCUGGUGAACGGCGGCCGUAACGAUAACGGUCCUAAGGUAGCGAAAUUCCUUGUCGGGUAAGUUCCGACCCGCACGAAAGGCGUAAUGAUUUGGAUACUGUCUCGGAGAGGGGCUCGGUGAAAUAGACUUGUCUGUGAAGAUGCGGACUACCUGCACCUGGACAGAAAGACCCUAUGAAGCUUUACUGUAACUUGAAAUUGAAAUUGGACUUUAUUUGCGCAGUAUAGGUGGGAGGCGUUGAAAAUAUUCUUGCGGGAAUAUUGGAGCCAUCAGUGAGAUACCACUCUUGUAAUGUUAGAUUUCUAACUUUAUAUCAUUAUCUGGUUAAAGAACAGUUUCAGGCGGGCAGUUUGACUGGGGCGGUCGCCUCCCAAAUGGUAACGGAGGCGCACAAAGGUUUCCUCUGAACGGGUAGAAAUCGUAUCUAGAGUGUAAAGGCAUAAGGAAGCUUGACUGUGAGACCUACAAGUCGAGCAGGGACGAAAGUCGGUCUUAGUGAUCUGACGGUGCUGAGUGGAAAGGCCGUCACUCAACGGAUAAAAGUUACUCUAGGAUAACAGGCUGAUCUCCCCCAAGAGUUCACAUCGACGGGGAGGUUUGGCACCUCGAUGUCGGCUCAUCGCAUCCUGGGGCGGUAGUACGUCCCAAGGGUUGGGCUGUUCGCCCAUGAAAGCGGUACGCGAGCUGGGUUCAGAACGUCGUGAGACAGUUCGGUCCAUAUCCGGUGUAGGCGUUAGAAUAUUGAGAGGAGCCUUCUUUAGUACGAGAGGACCGAGAAGGACAUACCUCUGGUGUACCAGUUAUCGUGCCAACGGUAAACGCUGGGUAGCUAUGUAUGGAGUGGAUAACCGCUGAAAGCAUCUAAGUGGGAAGCCCACCUCAAGAUAAG